rnacentral:misc_RNA from 1 species
GAUGAAGAACGCAGCGAAAUGCGAUACGUAGUGUGAAUUGCAGAAUUCAGUGAAUCAUCGAAUCUUUGAACGCAUAUUGCGCUCUCUGGUAUUCCGGAGAGCAUGCUUGUUUGAGUAUCAGUAAACACCUCAACUUCCAUAUCUUUUUUGAAAUGGGAGUUGGACUUGAGUGAUCCCAACGCUUUUCCUCACCGAAAAGUGGCGGGUUACUUGAAAUGCAGGUGCAGCUGGACUUUUCUCUUAGCUAUAAGCAUAUCUAUUUAGUCUGCCUAAAAAACAGAUUAUUACCUUUGCUGCAGCUAACAUAAAGGAGAUUAGUUCUUGUGCUGACUGAUGCAGGAUUCACAAAGACGGCUUCGGCCGACUUUGUAAACUCGAUCUCAAAUCAAGUAAGACUACCCGCUGAACUUAAGCAUAUCAAUAAGCGGAGGA